AACGAACGCUGGCGGCAUGCCUAACACAUGCAAGUCGAACGAGACCUUCGGGUCUAGUGGCGCACGGGUGCGUAACGCGUGGGAACCUGACCUUAGGUUCGGAAUAACUCCCCGACAGGGGUGCUAAUACCGGAUAAUGUCUUCGGACCAAAGAUUUAUCGACCUUGGAUGGGCACGAGUUGGAUUAGCUAGUUGGUAGGGUAAAAGCCUACCAAGGCGACGAUGCGUAGCUGGCAUGAGAGGAUGAUCAGCCACACUGGGACUGAGACACGGCCCAGACGACUACGGGAUGCCGCCGUGGGGAAGCGGACGCAAUGGGCGAACGCCUGACGGUGCAACGCCGCGUGCGUGAUGAAGGUCUUCGGAUCGUAAAACUCUGUUAUUAGGGAAGAAAAAAUGUGUAAGUAACUAUGCACGUCUGGACGGUACAUAAUCAGAAAGCCACGGCUAACUACGUG
rnacentral:rRNA from 1 species